rnacentral:rRNA from 1 species
UGCAGUCGACGGUGAACACGGAGCUUGCUCCUGUGGGAUCCAGUGGCGAACGGGUGAGUAACACGUGAGCAACCUGCCCCUGACUCUGGGAUAAGCGCUGGAAACGGCGUCUAAUACUGGAUAUGUGACGUGAUCGCAUGGUCUGCGUCUGGAAAGAAUUUCGGUUGGGGAUGGGCUCGCGGCCUAUCAGCUUGUUGGUGAGGUAAUGGCUCACCAAGGCGUCGACGGGUAGCCGGCCUGAGAGGGUGACCGGCCACACUGGGACUGAGACACGGCCCAGACUCCUACGGGAGGCAGCAGUGGGGAAUAUUGCACAAUGGGCGCAAGCCUGAUGCAGCAACGCCGCGUGAGGGACGACGGCCUUCGGGUUGUAAACCUCUUUUAGCAGGGAAGAAGCGAAAGUGACGGUACCUGCAGAAAAAGCGCCGGCUAACUACGUGCCAGCAGCCGCGGUAAUACGUAGGGCGCAAGCGUUAUCCGGAAUUAUUGGGCGUAAAGAGCUCGUAGGCGGUUUGUCGCGUCUGCUGUGAAAUCCGGAGGCUCAACCUCCGGCCUGCAGUGGGUACGGGCAGACUAGAGUGCGGUAGGGGAGAUUGGAAUUCCUGGUGUAGCGGUGGAAUGCGCAGAUAUCAGGAGGAACACCGAUGGCGAAGGCAGAUCUCUGGGCCGUA